UACAGAGGGUGCGAGCGUUAAUCGGAAUUACUGGGCGUAAAGCGUGCGUAGACGGUAAUGUAAGUCAGAUGUGAAAUCCCCGGGCUCAACCUGGGAAUGGCAAUGGAUACUGGCGGGCUAGAGUGUGUCAGAGGAUGGUGGAAUUCCCGGUGUAGCGGUGAAAUGCGUAGAGAUCGGGAGGAACAUCAGUGGCGAAGGCGGCCAUCUGGGACAACACUGACGCUGAAGCACGAAAGCGUGGGGAGCAAACAGG
rnacentral:rRNA from 1 species